CCCUACGGGGGGCAGCAGUUGGGAAUAUUGGACAAUGGAGGAAACUCUGAUCCAGUGACGCCGCGUGAAGGAAGAAGGUCUUCGGAUUGUAAACUUAUUUUAUCAGGGAAGAAAAAAAUGACUGUACCUGAGUAAGAAGCACCGGCUAAAUACGUGCCGGCAGCCGCGGUAAUACGUAUGGUGCAAGCGUUAUCCGGAUUUACUGGGUGUAAAGGGAGCGCAGGCGGUGCGGCAAGUCUGAUGUGAAAGCCCGGGGCUCAACCCCGGGACUGCAUUGGAAACUACCGAACUAGAGUGUCGGAGAG
rnacentral:rRNA from 1 species